AGAGUUUGAUCAUGGCUCAGGAUGAACGCUAGCUACAGGCUUAACACAUGCAAGUCGAGGGGAAACGAUAUUGGAAGCUUGCUUCCGAUAGGCGUCGACCGGCGCACGGGUGAGUAACGCGUAUCCAACCUGCCCACCACUUGGGGAUAACCUUGCGAAAGUAAGACUAAUACCCAAUGACGUCUCUAGAAGACAUCUGAAGGAGAUUAAAGAUUUAUCGGUGAUGGAUGGGGAUGCGUCUGAUUAGCUUGUUGGCGGGGUAACGGCCCACCAAGGCAACGAUCAGUAGGGGUUCUGAGAGGAAGGUCCCCCACAUUGGAACUGAGACACGGUCCAAACUCCUACGGGAGGCAGCAGUGAGGAAUAUUAGUCAAUGGGCGAGAGCCUGAACCAGCCAAGUAGCGUGCAGGAAGACGGCCCUAUGGGUUGUAAACUGCUUUUAUAAGGGAAUAAAGUUAGUCUCGUGAGACUUUUUGCAUGUACCUUAUGAAUAAGGACCGGCUAAUUCCGUGCCAGCAGCCGCGGUAAUACGGAAGGUCCGGGCGUUAUCCGGAUUUAUUGGGUUUAAAGGGAGCGUAGGCCGGAGAUUAAGCGUGUUGUGAAAUGUAGACGCUCAACGUCUGCACUGCAGCGCGAACUGGUUUCCUUGAGUACGCACAAAGUGGGCGGAAUUCGUGGUGUAGCGGUGAAAUGCUUAGAUAUCACGAAGAACUCCGAUUGCGAAGGCAGCUCACUGGAGCGCAACUGACGCUGAAGCUCGAAAGUGCGGGUAUCGAACAGGAUUAGAUACCCUGGUAGUCCGCACGGUAAACGAUGGAUGCCCGCUGUUGGUCUGAAUAGGUCAGCGGCCAAGCGAAAGCAUUAAGCAUCCCACCUGGGGAGUACGCCGGCAACGGUGAAACUCAAAGGAAUUGACGGGGGCCCGCACAAGCGGAGGAACAUGUGGUUUAAUUCGAAGCAACGCGAAGAACCUUACCAGGGCUUGAAAUCAUGGUGAAGCGGCGGAAACGCCGUGGCCGAGAGGAGCCAUGACAGGUGGUGCAUGGCUGUCGUCAGCUCGUGUCGUGAGAUGUUGGGUUAAGUCCCGCAACGAGCGCAACCCCUGUAGCGUGUUGCCAGCAUUCAGUUGGGGACUCGCGCGAGACUGCCGGCGUCAAGCCGGAGGAAGGUGGGGACGACGUCAAGUCAUCAUGCCCCUUAUGCCCUGGGCUGCACACGUGCUACAAUGGCCGGUACAACGGGCUGCGACGCCGCGAGGCGGAGCGAAUCCCUCAAAGCCGGCCCCAGUUCGGAUCGCAGGCUGCAAUUCGCCUGCGUGAAGCCGGAGUUGUUAGUAAUCGCGGAUCAGCACGCCGCGGUGAAUACGUUCCCGGGCCUUGUACACACCGCCCGUCACACCACUCGAGUCGUCUGCACCCGAAGUCGCCGGCCCAACCCGCAAGGGGAGGAGGCGCCGAAGGUGUGGAGGGUAAGAGGGGUGAAGUCGUAACAAGGUA
rnacentral:rRNA from 1 species